CAAAAUUGGGAGGAGACCCCAGUAGCUUUCCACUAGUUUUCUAGCAUUGCAUCUUGGAGACUUUGUGUAACACACACCUAUGCAAUUUUGGGGCAGUCGCCAUUUUAUCUGCCAUCUUGAUAAUUUUUGAAUUUCAACUUUAAGCAGAAAAGCAGCCUUACUUGUUUGAUAUUGGCUGGAACUUAUAAAUACCUGUAUGAGGUCAGAUUUAGCAGAAUAUAUGCUGUUAUUUUAUGCCUGAAUAGAAGAAGCCAUCGAUGGUUCCAAGAUCGGGAUAUUUUCCAACACCGGAUAAUUUCCAGGAUCGGGACAUUUCCCAAGGUCGGGUCGUUUAGGAGACUGGUGAAUUAUUAGUAAGCUGAGAAUAUAAAGCGCCGUCUUUGAUGGAGGUUUUCGGCCAACAGAUAAGUUAUUAUAAAGAACAGUGAGAGAAAAAGCAGGAGGACUUUUCUUUAAAUGUGAACUCGAUUUCUGAAUAUCAGAAAGUCUAACGAUUGGAGAUUUGAGAUUGAAGAUACAGACAUUAAUUAUGACUGAACAGUUGAUUGAUAGAAGUAUUGAUUUGAAUUUGGAUCCUUGUAAGAUAUGUCGGAUGAUAGUCUUGAGCUAGAGUUUGGAGAACAGCUCAAGUUUCAGGUGUUAGAAGAUAAAAUGUGAUCAGAAAAAUAUAUUAGGUCAGAGAUACAAAAUGGUGAAAGUAGAAUUAUAUAUGAAGGUGGAUUAAUGCAGGAUCCUUUCAUAAUUAUGAAUGUUUGGUAGUUAUGAUUGUGAAAA